CAGCUCGUGUCAUGAGAUGUUUGGUCAAGUCCUAUAACGAGCGGAACCCUCGUUUUGUGUUGCUGAGACAUGCGCCUAAGGAGAAAUUGCCACCGAGUGACGUGCCAGCGCUACUACUUGAUUGAGUGCCAGCACGUAGCUGUGCUUUCAGCAAGAAUUUCACCAUUGGGAGCCGGUGCCUUCCGAAGCACUUUCACGUGUGAAACAAAGUCGUCUUGCCCAAGACCCACGGAGACCUACCUAUAGUGAAGUCAAAGUACCAGUGAGCAUGGAGGUUCGGUUGAAAUUGGUUACGAUGAUGUCGACUUGGCGACAUAGGAAGACUCAUCAUGAAGGCCAGAAAAUGGUGUGGAACGUAGUGGUAAUACUACGCACCCCGCUCCGAAUCAAAGAAAAAAGUGCGUGCCGCACUCACGAGGGACUGCCAGUGAGAUACUGGAGGAAGGUGGGGAUGA
rnacentral:ncRNA from 1 species